CUCCUCUUUUGUGCAGAAUAUAAACAUCAAGGAGUGCUGAUAAGACACUAAAACAGGCAGUCAUGUGAAUCCAGAAAUCACCUCAGGUGUCUGAGAUCUGUCCAUCACAAGCUGCAGUGAAACCCCAGAAGAACUUAAGAGGCUACCUCCAGCAGCAGGUGCAGCUGACAUGUUUGGAAAUUCUUCCUCCAUGUGAGAUUUGGAGAUAUUUAGAUGGAUAGUGUGGUUCCAGAAGUGGAAUGGCAGCUGGACAUGACUUCCUUGCUUCACCUCUGCACCCUAUAGGCUCUAGCCCUACCAGAUGUUUUUAAUUGCAUGAGUGUAUGAAGUUUGGCUUUUUCCUCACCUGAUUUAAACCAGAACAGCAUUUUAAAGGUGUCCAGUCCUAAAGAGGCUAAAAAUAUAUGUUUAUUGUUUCUCAACAAAGAAAAAAGACAAUGUUUGCAUUGAUUUCAUUCUGUUAUGUCCAAACUGAAUAUUUUUUCAAAAAUGUGGUGCAACAAUGACUUUUAUAGUUUUGAGUAAAGUUCAGACAUCAACAGUAGAACCAUAGAGAACCACUUAGAAAUAA